CGGCUGAAGAAUUUGGAAUCUGUUGAGACCUUGUUGGAGAGAGAGCACUAACCGCUGUGAUCUUCCUUUUGUUUGAUCCAGAGGACCUUGACGCGAGACGAGUUUCUCGACGUCCGGAUUUGGACUGAUCGGACCUUUUUUAUUGGAGGCGGGUACUUUUGACUUAUUGUCUUUGAUAUGCUU